rnacentral:rRNA from 1 species
GACAGAGGGGGCAAGCGUUGCUCGGAAUUACUGGGCGUAAAGGGCGCGUAGGCGGCCUGCUAAGUCGAACGUGAAAUCCCUGGGCUCAACCCAGGAACUGCGUCCGAUACUGGUUGGCUUGAAUCCGGGAGAGGGAUGUGGAAUUCCAGGUGUAGCGGUGAAAUGCGUAGAUAUCUGGAGGAACACCGGUGGCGAAGGCGACAUCCUGGACCGGUAUUGACGCUGAGGCGCGAAAGCCAGGGGAGCAAACGGG